UGCUCUCUGGGUGACGAGCGGCGGACGGGUGAGUAAUGUCUGGGAAACUGCCUGAUGGAGGGGGAUAACUACUGGAAACGGUAGCUAAUACCGCAUAACGUCUUCGGACCAAAGUGGGGGACCUUCGGGCCUCACGCCAUCAGAUGUGCCCAGAUGGGAUUAGCUAGUAGGUGGGGUAAUGGCUCACCUAGGCGACGAUCCCUAGCUGGUCUGAGAGGAUGACCAGCCACACUGGAACUGAGACACGGUCCAGACUCCUACGGGAGGCAGCAGUGGGGAAUAUUGCACAAUGGGCGCAAGCCUGAUGCAGCCAUGCCGCGUGUGUGAAGAAGGCCUUCGGGUUGUAAAGCACUUUCAGCGAGGAGGAAGGGUUCAGUGUUAAUAGCACUGUGCAUUGACGUUACUCGCAGAAGAAGCACCGGCUAACUCCGUGCCAGCAGCCGCGGUAAUACGGAGGGUGCAAGCGUUAAUCGGAAUUACUGGGCGUAAAGCGCACGCAGGCGGUUUGUUAAGUCAGAUGUGAAAUCCCCGCGCUUAACGUGGGAACUGCAUUUGAAACUGGCAAGCUA
rnacentral:rRNA from 1 species